GGCUUAUCUGACGGUAGUGGGUUAUCAGAACUUAUUAACAUUAGUGUCAGUAAAGUUGGUAUUCAACCCCCGACUGUUAAAUUUAACUGGCUAAAA
rnacentral:Y_RNA from 1 species